ensembl:lncRNA novel transcript
ACAGUCAUUGUUUCCAGACCAGCCGAGCCAACUGGGGAGGAGAGGCCAAGCCCAGGGAGAGCAGUAAGAGGCCCAGCUUGCAACACAGGCCCCCGGCGGCUGGAGUCGGCUCAUGGGUUGCUGGGGGGCAGCUGGUGCCAGCCCUGCUAGACAUGUCCAGGGUCGGGGCAGAGGCCAGGGUGGCUCUCAUCCACAACGAGGCUCCAGGAAGAGGCUCCAGAGGGCCCAGGUCCCUGGAGGAAGACAGAGGGUGGAUUAUCCAUCUCAAGGACUUGGGCAGCUUCUGGAAGUGGCUGAGACUGGAAGAAUGUUGUCACACCUACCAGAUAUCCCUACGUGUAUCUCUACCACCCCCACUACAUAUUCUGAAGAACCAAGGUGCAACAGGAACCUGGAGCCUCAAGAGCCGAGGUGCUCAGGAGGGGCAGCAUGACUCCAGGGCUCGGAAGGAGCCCCUCAGGGGAACCUCAAGAGUGCUGCCUGAGUAACUCUCAUUACACAAAGACACAACUGCAAGAGGAUCCCCAGGCAUUCCCAUGAGAACACAGAUUCUGACAACCCCUCCAUCCCCCACCUUGGUCUCCACCCCAGGACUCACAGCAUGGCAAAAAUCCAAGGGAAGAUUCUUGGGUAACUAAUGCUCCUUUACAGGGGGUCCCGGAUGAAGGGCAGGGGGAAAGUCUUGUCACUGUGGGGCUAGGAUAGAUGAACCCAAGAGUGAUUUGCCAAACGUGCACAUACUCAAAUCAUUUUUCAAACAUUUUGGGUUUGGCAAAAUGCAUGUUGCUAAGCCCCCUUUCCCGACAGUGGUAUACCCAUGUGAAUUUCAAGGGAAAUUCAAUGUGUGUGUUUCUGAUUCUCUUAGGCUUAUCUCAGGACAAUUAUUUAGCAAGAACCACUUUGUGUCCAAGAAUCUUCCUGAACCCUUUCUUUUGUAAGACCCCUUAAACAAUUUUCCUUUUAACCAGGAAGUAUGUUUUGUCUGGAGUAAAUUGAACUGAAACCCC